CCUGUUGAAUGGACUGCUUUUGUGGAUCAUUAUAUGGAUCCUAAAACAAAGAAACAAUGUUUGCAAAACGCCAGAAAUCGUGAGAAACUUAUAGUUUCACAUGCCGGUGGAAGUAAAAGCAAUGCUAGAAGAACAACUCAGAUGGAAAGAAAUUGGGAAGGCCUGUAUGUCGAAGCGAGGUUAUUGUAUCAACUUUGCUAAAGAAAGAUGGGAGUUAUAUAAGCGGGGAAGGACAACGAUUAGCUG